GGAAGCAGUGGAGGCGUGAAUGGACGGGUGAGUGAUGGGUGAUGCACUGUGAGCGACGGCUGGCUCGGGGACGGAAAGCGGACGCUGUGGCCCACAGCUGGUGGGCCUGCUCUGGGUGGAAGGAUGCCCUGGGCUUGCCGAGUUCCCAGACACCCUGGUGCUCAGUCCAGAGCAGCCCCGAAGGAGCGCGAGCCCUGAGCAGAAAGGGCUCCUGGGCUCAGGCCCCAGUUCCCGCCCUGCACUGGGCUCCUCUCUGCCCUCACCUGUCUGUGUCCUCUUUGUAAGUAGCAACAUUUUGCCUGGAGUGGAAGUUGACUGUUGAAAAUAAAGAGAACUCCAUAUGGGUUUCAUUAUUGUUCCCUAUUUAAGUGGCAUCAUCAGAGAUGUUUCUGGUCCUAUGUCUAAUUCCUUACCUCCUGUUCAUCCUGCAACGUGCUGGCUGGUCGUCCCCCCAUGUCGUCAAGUCCAGGCUCCCCGUUCUCUCAGCAACGUCACGCCGAGUGACCGUCUUCCUGGAAGCCCACCCCUCGUGCCUCUGCCUGGACGUCUGAUCGCCCGCCUGAAAACUCCACGGGCUGUCAGCAGGCGCCUCAACAGGGAGCACGCCUGGGAGCCAUGUCCCUGAUCCCCAGCGCGGCCAGCCUGCCCGCUGCGGCGUUCCCAGGGUGGGGCUCGGUGCUCAGGCUAAGAUGGCGGCCCCGGCCUGCUCCUCGGCUCUCGCCCUGGCAUUCAGCUCUCACCUGUGGGCUCUACCUCAGACUACGUCCCAACCCCCAGGGGCAUCCUGAGCACAUCUGACACCCAGAGACGGUUUGUGCUAACAUCCCCCUUCUGUGGACCAAAUGCCUGUGCCCAGUUCACACGUUGGAGCCCUGAGCUCCAGUGUGAUGGCGUUUGUGGCUGGGGCCUUUGGGAGGUGAUUCGGUCAUGAGGGUGGAGCCCUCAUGCUAGAUUAGUGCCAUUUUAACGGAGGAGGAGACACGAAUGUCUCUCUCUGCAUGCUUCCACCACAACGGGCUACAAGAGGACACAGCCAGAAAGAUCGCCUUCGUGGAGGACGCCCGUGCCGGCCCCUGCUCUCGGGCUCCCAGCCUCCAGAACCGGGAAGAGAGGGCUUUGUUGAAGCUGCCUGGGAUGUGGUAUUCUGUUGUGGCAGCCUGAACUGGCUGGCACCCCUCUUCUACGUGACACAACUAUUUUCAGUAAUAAUCAUGAAAUAAAACAAGUAAGAGGUCUAGAAAAGAGCGCA
rnacentral:lncRNA from 1 species